rnacentral:tRNA from 1 species
GCCGGAAUAGCUCAGUUGGUAGAGCASAGGACUGAAAAUCCUC